rnacentral:rRNA from 1 species
UACGGGAGGCAGCAGUGAGGAAUAUUGGUCAAUGGGCGGAAGCCUGAACCAGCCAUGCCGCGUGCAGGAAGACGGCCCUACGGGUUGUAAACUGCUUUUAUGUGAGGAUAAACCUAGAUUUGCGAAUCUAGCUGAAGGUAUCACAUGAAUAAGGAUCGGCUAACUCCGUGCCAGCAGCCGCGGUAAUACGGAGGAUUCGAGCGUUAUCCGGAUUUAUUGGGUUUAAAGGGUGCGUAGGCGGGCUAAUAAGUCAGCGGUGAAAUCACUCAGCUUAACUGAGUAACUGCCGUUGAUACUGUUAGUCUAGAAUAUAAAUGGUGCAGGCGGAAUGAAUCAUGUAGAGGUGACAUUCAUAGAUAUGAUUCAGAACACCGAUCGCGAAGGCAGCUUGCAAAGAUAUUAUUGACGCUGAGGCACGAAAGCGUGGGUAGCGAACAGGAUUAGAUACCCUGGUAGUCCACGCUGUAAACGAUGAUAACUCGUUGUCGGCGGUACACAGUCGGUGACUAAGCGAAAGCGAUAAGUUAUCUACCUGGGGAGUACGAUCGCAAGGUUGAAACUCAAAGGAAUUGACGG